GCCGGGUGCGGUGGUGCAUGCCUGUAGUCCCAGCUACUCAGGAGGCUGAGGUGGGAGGAUCACUUGAGCCCAGGAGUUCUGGGCUAUAGUGCGCUAUGCCGAUCGGGUGUCCACACUAAGUUCAGCAUCAAUAUGGUGACCUCCCGGGAGCGGAGGACCACCAGGUUGCCUAAGGAGGGGUGAACCGGCCCAGGUUGGAAACGGAGCAGGUCAAAACUCCCAUGCUGAUCAGUAGUGGGAUCGUGCCUGUGAAUAGCCACUGCACUCCAGCCUGGGCAACAUAGCGAGACCCUGUCUCU
rnacentral:SRP_RNA from 1 species